rfam:Eutrema salsugineum unplaced genomic scaffold scaffold_12, whole genome shotgun sequence.
AACCCAUGGUGUGGAAAAUCACGUUCAUACUCCUUAAAACGCUCCCAGGCUUCGUAAUAAGAUUUGACUGGUCCUUGCUGGAAACUUUGGAUUUUGUAUCUCAGCAGGUU